AGGCUCGAAGACGAGGAGAUUGCAUCCUUCAUCCUUGCCGGCCUUGAUGCAGAGUACAAUCCCAUUGUCUCCUCUAUCACGGGCCGUGUGGAGAAGAUCUCGCUUGGCGAGCUCUAUACUCAACUUGUUAGCUGGGAGC
rfam:Sorghum bicolor cultivar BTx623 chromosome 7, whole genome shotgun sequence.